rnacentral:lncRNA from 1 species
UGACAAUCAGUGAGUUCUCACAAGAUCUGCUUCUUUCAAAAUGUGUAGCACCUCUCGCUUUGCUCUCUUCCUCCUGCCCCACCAUGUGAGAUGUUCCUGCUUCCCUCGCCUUCUGCCAUGAUUAGGCCAGGACUUUCAGCAAGUUGUGGACAGUGGUGAGAACCAAUGGCCGUGCCACAAUCUUGGUCUUGGAGGGGAUGCGUUGGGUUCUCAUGAUCACAUGCGAUGCCAGCCCUGGAUUUCUCAGAUGCUCUUCACCAACCUGAGGGAUCGUCAUUGCCUGAGAAAUUUUAUAAUGAAUGGGUGUUGGGAUUUGUCAAAUGCUUUUUCUAAAUCACUCCAUAGAGCCACAUAUUUUCUUCAGUCUGUUUAUAUGGUGGAUUACCUGGAUUGAUUUUUGAGUGUUGAACCAGCCUUGCAUACCUGGGAAAUGUACGAUUUGAUUGUAGUGUGCAGUAAUUUUAUGCAUGGGUAGAUUUGCUUUGCUAAUAUAUUGUAUGGAGUCUUUGCAUCUAAGUUCAUGAGUGAUAUCAGACUGUUGUUUUCAUAAGUGAGGCUCAUAAGAAGAAUUAGAAAGUGUGCUUCUUUUAUAUUCUGAAAGAGAUUAUAUAAAAUUUACAUUAAUUCUUCUUUAAACAUUUGCUAGUGUUUUUCAGGAACUCCAUCUAGGUCUGAAGAUUUUUGGGUGGGAGUUGUUAAAUACAAAUUAAAUUUAAGAGGUUAAAGCUGUUCAGGUUAUCUAUUUCACCAGAAGUGAACUGCAGUAGUUUCUGUUUUUCAAGGAAUGAGCCCACUUUAUUUCAGUUGUUGAGUUUCUGUGUGUUUUUAAAAUCCCUUAUGAUUCCUUUAACAGCUGCAGUACAUUUAUUGAUUUCUCACUUUCAUCACGAUAUUGAUGAUUUGGGUCUUUUUAAAAAAAUAUUUACUUGCUAAAGGUUUAUCAAUUUUACUGGUAAUUUUCAUCAGCUUUUUGGUUCACUGAUUUCUCCAUUUCCUAUAUUCAGUUUCAUAGCUCUUUAUUCUUAUCUUUUUAUCCUACCUAUUGCUUGCUUUGGGUUUAUUUUGCUCGUCUUUUCUGGUUGCUUUAAGUAAGAAUUUAGAUUAUUGAUUUAAAACCUUCCCACUUUCUAAAGCGAACACUUAGUGUUAUACAUCUCCCUCUCAGAACUGGCUUGCCUGCAUAUCCCCAAUUUUGAUAUGUUGUAUUUUAAUUUUUACUUAUUUUUACUUCCUUUGAGAUUUUCUCUUUGACCCAUGGAUUAUAUGUAAGUAGAUUGUUUAAUUUUCAAUUGUUUAAAGAGCUUCCUAUUGUGUAUCUCUUAUUGACUUACAGUUUUAUUCCAUAUUGGUCAAAUAGUAUACUCUGUCAUUUCAAUUCUCACAGGAUAUGGCCUACCAUGGUUUAUGUUCCGUGACCACUUGACAAACAUGUGUAUUCUUCUGUUGUUGAGUAGAAGGUUGAUGUGGUUUGGAUCUGUGUCCCCACCCAAAUCUCAUAUUGAAUUGUAAUCCCCAGUGUUGGAGGUGGGGCCUGGUGAGAGGUGAUUGGAUCAUAGAGACGGUUUCUCAUGAAUGGUUUAGCACCAUCCCCUUGGUACUGUUCUGUUGAUAGUGAGUUUUCAGGAGAUCUGAUUGUUUAAAAGUGUGUGGCACCUCCCCCGUCCCUCUCUCUCUUCAUCUUUCUCUGGCUAUGUGAAGUGCUGGCUCACCCUUCACCUUCCCUGCAUUAGUCAAGAUUCUCUAGAGGGACAGGACUAAUAGG